GUCUUUUUUUGGCACAUGAAAUAUACAGAGGUGUGUCAUGACUAAUACUGGUUGGACAAUCAAAGCACCCAUACAUGCAGCUGGACUGGCCCUCUGGCUGUCAAGUCUUCACUCAUUAGGAAGGUUCCUCAAAGUCCUUGCAAGAAGUGCAGUGCCCCUCAGGAUCUGUCACUACCCCAUGCCUUUCACAUCUUUUCUACCAAUUCCUGCUCACUGUGCUCUGCAUAGUCUGGUCUUCUGGUUGUAUUUGGACUCUAGCUGUGCUCCCACCUCAUAA
rnacentral:lncRNA from 1 species